CAUGCGCAGAGGGAACGGCUCCGGCACGGGCAGGCAGGGGAAGGAGGCAGAAGGUCACCCCCUGAAGAAUCACGACCACCGCUCCAAGCUGAUUAUACAUUAUGCAGUCCACCUCCACAUGACGCCCAACGCUACCGCUCAAGGAAGAAGAAUUCUUGUUUUGGGAAAGUAUAUAUCCACCCUCAGAGGAAUCACCAAAGGCUUGAGACCCAAACACUGUCCUCCUGCACUGUACAAAGUGAGGAAGAGGCCACUGGUGAUUAUUCUCUUGGGCUGAACUGAGGAUGAGCAACAAAAUCUGAGGAACACAGCCUGAAAAGGGGGGAGACCAGGAGGCUUGGGCCAACUUGUCCUGCUUACGCUGGGUGAAGUGGCUUGGGCUCUGGUUCAUCAGGACUGGUUUCUGCAUAUCUGCAAGGUUCCUUACUCAUCGCAGACACCACCACCCAUGGUGAAACCCCAGGUCCUCACAGUGGACCAUGAGGGAAACUACAGCUUGCCACUGGCCAUGCCAGAUUCCUCAGCAAGACACUUGAUGCAGGUGAGAGCAGGAGAGCUCAGGAAGGGCGGCCAAGCUAAACAGCUCUGGGCACGGCACCCACUUGUGAAGGUAACUCUGACCUGACUCCCCAUGCUUGUGUUUUUUGAGUCCUCCCAGUUUUAAAUCUGACAUACAAGAUUUUCUGGACCUGUCUAUGCCAGCUUCAUAGCGAAUACGCAGGAGAUCCAACCCACCUAGCAUCAGACCUGUUGUGCACUGGCUGCUGCUGUGGAGGCUCACCUUUCCGAUCAGGAGCCGGAUGCUUUUGUCCAUGGACUUGUGCCUUACAAUGGCCUUGAAGCCAAUGUGCUGAGGGUUGUUUCUACUGCAAGAAGAAAUUUGUGGUGGAUCCACUUUUUCCCUGAGUUAGUUACAACUUUGUUUCCUCAGACACAGAGCAGAAGCCAAACAGCAGGAGGCAGUUCCUUUGUGUGUCCCCACCAGCUCCUGCCAGCCAGAGCUCAUCUGAAGAUGCUCUUCAUUUCAGUUUUCCUCAGAGCCAUGUUCCCUGGUUUCCUCCCAGACCACACGACUGAAUAUUCUCUUGUUGCCUCAUCUCUCAGAUUCUCCUGUCUUGUCUGCUUUUCUUUCAUGUAUUUCCAACAUGCACCAAACACUGGCCGUAGUAGCUUCUUCUCUCACAGGUGUCUUGUAUGUCUGCUCUGCUAUGGGCAUUGACUUGCUCCGGUGUUUGGGAUGGAGAUUGCUACCGAUUGUAUGGUCAUGGAGAUCCCUUUUCAUGGAACUAUCUUAAAUGAGGGACAGCGGUUAGUCAAAUAUAUAACUGUUUGAAGUAUAAAAUAGCCAAGUUCUUUGAAGAAAUCAGCUCCUAAUUGUCACAGUCUGCUCACCCAAAGUUAAAAGAAACUUUUCACUUUGAUCCUCCUGUUCUAUUUCACAUAUAGGGAUGACAAUCCUUCACUUCACUGGUCUAUUAGAAAGAUAAACAUAUGUGAAGCUCUCAGAUAUUAAAAUAGUGAGAGGCAUAGAAAAGCCUAGGAAGAAGCUAAUAUUUUGCACUCUGAAAAUGGGGCUAGGGUCAGGGGAAAAUCUGAUGCAGAAGAACUCAGUUCUACCAUAACCUUUUCUUUCUUUUCGUGCCAAACGUUCAGCCCACCUCCCGAUAUUGCAGGACAUGGGAGAAUGACUAGGGUAGGAGCGAUUGCAUCGCCUUCACCCGAUUACAGCAGCAGAGAUCCCCUGUUCACCAGGGAGAAUCUACUGUGGGAAUCUCCAGUCAGUUUAAGUUCACGCUCUCCUUAUGCGUGCAUAAGCAGAACAAACUUGGCAGGCUGAACAGUCUGUCCCUUAGGAAUAUUGACAGAUGACUGUAAACUCAAUUACCUUGCUUUUUCAUUCCAGUCGGGUUAUUUGCGCUGUGUACUAAGUACAUCAGCAUCUGGAGUCACUUUGAACAACAGGAGAAAGCAUUUUCCAGUGUCAGAAGAAGAAUUUUGUACAGUAUUUAUAACUUGCAAAAAGUCAGGGGGGUGGCUGUGCUUCGUUUCCCACCAUCCUGAAAAAAAAACCUACAUAAACCAAAACCUAUGUAGAAGGUUCAUUAUAUCCAAGGGUGUUGGUUUUUUUUUUUUUUUUUGGGGGGGGGGAAUAGCUAAAUGGCUGAUAGCCAUUUUGCCUAUGAGCCUGUAAAACUGAAAGAUGUAAAACCAGCUCCUGAAUUUUCCUUACCAUUUUCCCCACCACCAUCUUCACUAUCCAUUAACCCAGCUCAUUACUGAAAGCUGAAAACACAAAAGAAGUAAACAUUAGUUAAUGAGGUUUGCACCUGGGGGUGGUAAACAAAGCUGCUCUCUAUGCCUGUGAGCUCUUGAAAGGAAACUUGCUGCUGUACCGAAGCAAAUCUCAGCACAGAAAGGACAGGUCUGGCUGGGGUAGGGUAUGUGUGCAGAGAAUGGGAAGAAUAUUUUCAUUUUUCCAAUUUCAUAAUCAGACAGGGAAAGAUAAGGAACAAAAUCUUUCCUAAAUUUGUCCCUCCAAUUAGAAAAUACAUAUUUGCCUUAUCUUUGUUUUCAUUGUAGCUAGAGGCAGAAACUGAUGCUAAUCUGAUUCCUUACUCCUUUGUCGUUUGGGACGUUUCAAAUCCGUAUUUUCCAUCCUGGGGUUUUGCCUCAAACACAGAGAAUCGAGACUUUGUCUUGGACUUAAAGAAUCAAGACUUUGUCUGAAAUGCAAUAAUAUGGCGCACGCUAAACAAAACAAGUCUUUGUGUACCAUUGUUAUCAAAACAUUAUAGCACCAGGAAAUAGCUAGACGCGGACUUUCCUUUGCUAGUUAACUGCUACUAUAGAUCUGUUAAAGUUCAACUCAUUUUACUUUUAAAUCCUAUUGCAGUAGCUGAAUGCUUUGGCAAAGAAAGAAGCAGCCUAUAAGACGUUCUUUACAAAAUAGUAAUGCAUGUAUUAAAUCAGUACGUUUUCACCUUACCGUUUCCUUCAAUCCACGCUUCUCUGAAUGUGACUUUCACUCCUGCGCCCAGGCGUGACCGACCUCCCUCCCGCCUGCCCGGAGGAGCAUCACCAGGGAGCAGGCAGGAGCCCCCCCUGCCAGCAAACCGGCCCCUUCGGGAGCGGCACAUCAGGGCCAGGCUUGCCCCGUCGGGCAUCGGUUGGCAGAGCCAGGCUCAGUCCCCAUCUUGAAGAUGCUGCUGUGAGCUGGUCAGUGGAAGAAAUGUGCUGCACGGUUAAUUUCCAUGGUAGGGUCUGCUCUCUCUUUCGGUGCUUUCCCCUGCGCAGGGCUAUGGUCUGAAAGGAAAGCAAGCCCUGCAAAAGCAGACCUCCCUAGGCAUACAUUCAGGGAUGGAUUUUCUUCUUCUCUUCUUCUGGUGCUCAAAUCAGGGUGAGGAUUAACUCCACUGAAGACAAUGGAGCCAAACCAACACAAGUCAAAGAAGAAUCAGACUGUAGCUCUAAGAAACAUCUAUUCCUAUUACUUCCCAGACUUUUAUUGCUGCAAAUAUAUAAAUCUUUGUAUUAACUGACUUCAAAGAUCAUAAAGCCCUAAUUGUGUAUGCAGACUAGUAGUAAUGCAGUGUGCUGCUGAUGCAUAAAACACGCAUAGAUAGUACACAAAAUACACUCAGCCUGGGCUUAAAUUUAGCUUCAACCACACAAAAGAUAGCUUUAUAACUAAGAAUGAUGGGAAGAAAGAUCUCAUUCCAGACCAGAUGAACAACUCAUUUUUACACUGAUCCUGGAUUUGGCUGACCUGACUUAAAUCUGACCUAAGACAUUUCUUAGUGCUUUGGAAAUUGCAUCAACAUACUUGGGUUGGAGAUGCCACAGUCAGGAAAAAAAAAAAAGGAUGAUUCUAUUUUUAAAAUUCUGCUGUUCCUUUUUAAAAUAGAACAGUGCAACAUUGCUUUUCCUAUAGUUGUGAUUUUUCAGGCUAAGCAAACUUCAGUAAUUUCAAAGGCAGUGGGAACAAGGGGUCACUUGGGGCCAGCCAGAAAAAAAAUUAACUCUUUGUUCUUUUCCAGUAAAAGCUUUCGUCAUGUUGCUAUUGUUGAAAAGAGUCAGCUUAUAAAUGAAAAGGUCACUGUCACCAGUCACGGCUGUCCUUUAACUGGAGACUCAAGUCAAAGCCUCUUUAAUCUCUGCACUGCAGCCCUCCCCAGCUACCUACUUCCCUUUGCCUUGGAUGUCUUAUGUGGUCUGCUUUUGACCUCUUUUGCAUCCACCCUUUGUCUCCAUCCUCACAUGCUGAAGACACUGAAGAGAUGAUCACAGAGCCGGGUUUCUAUCAGUAAAGAGGCACCCUAGAAGUCACAUGCAGCCUUUGUGUUUCCCUAGCCCUGCCUGCCAAAAUCCGGCCUGCAUCCAGCUGAGGAGCUGGACACAUGUUGGCAGCAUACAUCAUGAUGGAGUUUACAAUGCCAUUUCCAUGCGGAUAUUGCAGGGUGGACACCAAAGACACUGGAGCAGUGCAGGGGCAAAUCUUUGAAGUGUGACUACAAGAAAUCUAGUGAUAGGAACAGAUGGUGUGAUGCAAUAGUGUGCUGCUGGUUCUGGAGACCGGCUCUAUCCAAAGCGGGUACAUUGGCAACUUGAGGGCAGACUUCCCUUCGCGUGAGCCUAAAUUUCUCAUCAGAAAAAAAAAAAGGGGGAUUCAGGGGUGGUGAGUGGGCUGUCCUAGGAGAUGCAGCCACAGAGGAGAAAGGUAGGCAGGCAGUGCCUUCUCUGUCCUCGGGUGUUGCUUACAGGAGGACUUCAAGGUAAAAAAAAAAAAAAAAAAAAAAAAAUCUGCCUCUGGGCCAAGUAAGGAAGCCUAUUUGAGAGCUCUUUUCUGCUUGCGUUUUUGUUUGUUUGUUUGUUUGUUUUACUUCUUUUGUGGGGUGCUCUGGUUUUCUGGGCCCGUUGCCAGGGGUUGCGUGCUUUGCCAAGCGGCAGCCUCGCGUUCUCGGGCAGGCAACAUCCUGGUUCCACCCUAUCCUGAAUGGGGUGUGCUCACACACACGCAUGUACCGUCAAGCACACUUUCUUUCAGACAGACGUUUGGUGAAGAGAAGUUAGGCUAAACCUGCAUUUCUGCCGUGAACUGUCCUUACUUAGCGUACCAGCAGCUAUAAAAAUGAGCUGUAGCUUGACAUAGCAGUGUUGUACCCUUUGGAGAGAUCCCAGGACAAGAGGUGCUUGGCCAGACGUGCAGAGGCUCUUUCCACGGUCAGGUUCACAGUAUGUCCUCAGGCAGCAUUUGCUGUCGCUAUAUUGUGGCAUACUUUGAUUUGAAUGAGAAUGGACUUCAACCUAUUAGAAAUUAUGUAGAUCACUGUCACAUUCUCCGGCAGGGCAGAGAUUUCACCUGUGCACCAUUGCUCACUGACAUUUACUAUCACCAGGGCUGGCCCGGGCAGGGAAGGCGCAAACUAGCGAUGCAAGGGUCUAAACAGAAAGGAAAAUGGUUACUUACCUGCGUAGUAGAGGAGAAGAUAAGAACUGCUUAAAUUUUACAACAGCGCCCCAGGUCAGGGAUGCAUAAUUCAGGGGAAAGAUGGUAAAUUUGCAGCGGUGAAGGCCAAGGAGCAGGAAAACGCCACUAGGCAGACGAGGGCUGAGAUCAGCAAACACGCACUUGCCCAGGGCAGCCAUGAGCAGCGGCCAGGUUGCUCCUAGCCCCUGCAGGAGUGGGGGGGGGGGCUCACCAAAGGGUGAGCGCAACCAGCUUGUUCGGGGGAAUGAAACUCACUCCCGUUAAUGCCACGGGUUUCCCCACCCCCAGCAGAAGCGGUGCCACCUUUGCUAGGCGGCAGCUGGGCCUCCGAGGUUCCCGGGGAGAUGGCAGCCCACACCGGCCCCGCAGAGCAGUCAGAGCCCGGUGGCUUGGUCGCCCGGCCUCUCCCCCGCGGCAGCACAUGCCGACCGGUGCCCAGGCACCUAGAAGCACCCCCUCGGGCACCGAGAGGCACCCCCGCCCCCCUCCCCGGCAGGAGCGCUGCGGGCGGAGCUGCCCCCCGCCCGCCCGGGCCGCCCGGGCCGCCCGGGCCGCCCGCGCAGGCGGGCGCGGAGGGGCAGCGCGGGAGCCGCUAGGCGGCGCUGCGGCUGCGCGGGUGCCGCUGCCGGGCCCGGCCGGGGCGCGCGCGCCCGAGGGACCGGUGCGUCAGCAGAGGUGUUACACGUUUGGGGUUUUUUUUGUUUUGUUUUGUUUCCUCAUGAGGCAUUGACGCUUGUGGGGAGCUGUGAAAAUCUAGUCAAACGACAUUAUAUAUUAAAAAAAACCCCACGUCAUGUUUUUAGGCACAGAGGAAAGGUUUCGUGGAAGGAUGACGUCCUUGGCGCUGCUUGCGUGUGUAAGUGAAUCCCCGAUAACUGCGUCCCUUUCCCGCGGGACCUAGGGCAGUGGGGGUACGGCCAGGUUCGCAGGGCCGGCGGGCACCGCCGAGGGAUCCCCCCUGGCUGCCAAGGGCCUCCCCUGGGAGCGCUGUAAGAACGUUUGAAUGUGCUCAGAGGGCUGGAGCACCUCUCCUUUGAAGACAGGCUGAGAGUUGGGGUCGUUCAGCCUGGAGAAGAGAAGGCUCUGGGGAGACCUUAUAGCAGCUUUCCAGUACCUGAAAGGGGCCUACAGGAAAUCUGGAGAGGGACUGUUCAUGAGGGAGUGUAGUGACAGGACAAGGGGUAAUGGCUUUAAGCUGAAGGAGGGGAGAUUUAGAUUAGAUAUAAGGAAAAAAAUCUUUACUGUGAGGGUGGUGAGGCACUGGAACAGGUUGCCCACAGAAGCUGUGGAUACCCCCUCCCUGGAAGUGUUCAAGGCCAGGUUGGAUGGGGCUUUGGGCAACGUGGUCUAGUGGAGGGUGUCCCUGCCCAUGGCAGGGGGGUUGGAACUAGAUGGUUUUUAAAGGUCCCUUCCAACCCAAACCAUUCUGUGACUCUGUUAUUCUAUGAUUCUAUGUCUCCCACACUAAGGCUGUGCUGAUCAGACAGGGAACUCUGAAGGGUCAAUAAAGAUUUCCAUGGAAAGGAGAGGAUGACGAGCAGCGCACGGGAGAGGGGCUGCCUUGGGGGCUGCCAGAAGGCUGCUGUCAUGUAGAACCACAGAAGUGCAAGGAUGCUACAGAGGUGAAGAGCAACAGAAAUAUGGAUAAUAACCAUUUCAGAAGAAUGCAACUCUAUAGGAACAAAGUGAUUUUAAUAAUGUAUUAGUUGCUAUAUAGGAGAGGUAGAAAUGCCAUCAGUAAUGUAGGCAGGUGAGAAGCUUCCACCAAUGUAACUGUGCUCUUGUUAGGAAACACUUCAAGGGGAUUUGUUAAGACUCAUUUUUGACUCAAGCUUGCCUGGGAUUUUUGCCUAUGCACAGUAUAAACCAUAAGAUGAACAAAAGGUUGGCAGUGGACUUAUUUUAGGAAUUUCAAUAAAUACCCCAGCUCCACAUUUGGGGGGAAAAAAGCAAGUGGUGUCACUGCUGCGGAGGAAACAGUAGGUGCCUUAAAAGGCUCUAAAUAACAACCAGUGAUACCAGACAUCUUAACAUCCCAAACUGUGUAUUGUUAGCAUGCCAGAACUUCCUAAGAGCUGGCAGAAGACUGCUUUGAGUCAUUAAAACUCACCUUCAGAAUAACUGGAAGUGCAGGGGAUCUCCAAGGGGUGGGAAAGAUGUUCACACUGGAACAGUAUUUUGAAAGCU